rnacentral:rRNA from 1 species
AUUCCAGCUCCAAUAGCGUAUAUUAAAGUUGUUGUGGUUAAAAAGCUCGUAGUUGGAUCUCGGCGGUCUGAGGGCGGUUCGCUUCAGAGCGCUACUGCCCUAUAGACCGUAGUUUUGCCAGAGGUCUCAGGGUGCUCUUAACCGAGUGUCUUGCGAUGCUGGCAGGUUUACUUUGAAAAAAUUAGAGUGCUCAAAGCAGGCUUUUACGCCUGAAUAUUCGUGCAUGGAAUAAUAGAAUAGGAAGUCGUUUCUAUUUUGUUGGUUUUCGGAAAUCGACUUAAUGAUUAAUAGGGACAGUCGGGGGCAUUUGUAUUCAAACGACAGAGGUGAAAUUCUUGGACCGUUUGAAGACAAACUACUGCGAAAGCAUUUGCCAAGAAUGUUUUCAUCG